ACCGCGGAUAGCUCAGCUGGAUAGAGCAUCUGCCCGGUAUGCGGAGGGGUCGCCGGUUCGAUUCCGGCUCGCGGCG
rnacentral:tRNA from 1 species